rnacentral:rRNA from 1 species
CCUACGGGUGGCAGCAGUGAGGAAUAUUGGUCAAUGGGCGCUAGCCUGAACCAGCCAAGCCGCGUGAAGGAUGACUGCCCCAUGGGUUGUAAACUUCUUUUAUAUGGGAAUAAAGUGCAGCAUGUAUACUGCUUUGCAUGUACUUUAUGAAUAAGCAUCGGCUAACUCCGUGCCAGCAGCCGCGGUAAUACGGAGGAUCCGAGCGUUAUCCGGAUUUAUUGGGUUUAAAGGGUGCGUAGGCGGGUUGUUAAGUCAGUUGUGAAAGUUUGCGGCUCAACCGUAAGAUUGCAGUUGAAACUGGCAGUCUUGAGUACAGGUGAGGUAGGCGGAAUUCGUGGUGUAGCGGUGAAAUGCUUAGAUAUCACGAAGAACUCCGAUUGCGAAGGCAGCUUAC